rnacentral:tRNA from 1 species
GUGUCGGUCCGGUGUGCAUGGAGCGGUCUUUUAAUCCGUCGGUUCUGGGUUCGAGUCCCAGGCGGCCCACCA